CACGCGUGAGUCACACGUGGGAACCUGCCUUUUCGUUCGGGAUAACGUCUCCGCAACGGACGCUAACACCGGAUACGUCCCCAGAGAGAUUUNGGCCGGAGACAGAGUUACCCCCGAGAGAGCGUUACCUAGUUACCGAUUAGGUAGUUGGUGGGGUAAUGGCCCACCAAGCCACGAUCGGUAGCUGGUCUGAGAGAUGAUCGCCACACUGGGCCUGAGACACGGCCNAGACUCUACGGGAGACAGCAGUGGCGAAUAUUGGACAAUGGGGCCAACCCUGAUACAGCAAUGCCGCGUGAGUGAUGAAGGCCUUAGGGUUGUAAACUCUUUCGCAC
rnacentral:rRNA from 1 species